GUCCCAUUAGUUCAACGGAUAGAAUCCCCGCCUACGAAGCGGAAGAUGUAAGUUCGAUCCUUACAUGGGAUACCA
rnacentral:tRNA from 1 species